rnacentral:tRNA from 1 species
GGGGCUGUAGCUCAGUUGGGAGAGCGCCGCAAUCGCACUGCGGAGGUCAGGGGUUCAAAUCCCCUCAGCUCCA